GCGCCGCGGACGGGCGAGUCUCUGCCUCUGUUCCGGCCUGCCCGCCCGCCACACCCGGCGGCUCGACCGUCUACUGGGAGGCGGGCGGGCCCAGCCCGCGCGCCGGCGGCGCCCCGGCUGGCGGGCGGCUGACUCUGCUGGCGCCGAUCGGUGGGGCCACGCCGGGGCCCGCGGCCCCCGCCCCGGUGCGGGCGGGCGGGAGGUGGGAGGCGGGCCCGCCCGGGGAGGCCCCGGCGAGGAGGGAGCGGCCGGCGACCGGCGGGGAGGACGGGUAGGCGGGCGGACUCGGCUCCCGCGCGGACGAGCGGGCGGGGGCCGCCCGGGGGGACGGGGAGCAUGGCGGACCGAGCUCCCACCGGGGACGAGCGGGCGCCGAGCGCCGGGAGGAGGCGGACCGGACUCCGGUCGAGGGAACCGGGCGAGGGCCGCCCGGGAGGCCGGGGAGGACGGCGGACUUACCUCCCCGUUGUGGGGACCGGGCGGGCACCGCCCGAGAGGACGGGGAGGACGGCGGACCGAGCUCCCCGUGCGGAAGAGCGGGCGGGGCCCGCCGGGGGCCCGGCCGUGGGGGCCGGGAGACGGCCGGACUUCCUUCCCCACGGGCGAGGGCGGGCGGGGACCGCCCGGGGCCGGGCCGGGCCGUGCGGGACCGGCGGGGCCGCCCCCGCGAAGAGCGGGCCGCCGGGGCGAGUUGGCCGAAGGGGGCGACCGAUCCGGUCAAAAAACCGGACUUUGCGGUGUUGCGCCCGAGCCGGAGUCGAGGGCGAAAGACGAGUUGCCGCUCGAGGCCCGCAAGAGGACUUUGAGGCUCCGUCCGGGAACCGGGCAGGCGGGGGUCCCGGAGUCCGGGCGGGCCGGCGGUCGGCGGGCGCCGGCCGGUGGGGCCGCCGUCCGGAGCGCCGCCGGCCCCCACGGGGCCCCGGCAGCGGAGGGCGCGCGGCCGAGGCGGCUCCAUCUUCCGGGCGGAAGGGGGAGGGACACCCCCCUGGCUCCCCCGAGCGGAACAAGUGGGUCUCCGGGCGGGCGGCGGCUCCCGGAGACCGGGGAGCGAGCGGCCGGGACCGGGCGCCCGCCGUGCGCAGCCGGCGGUGGGGGCGGUCCGCGGCCGGCGGGGCGGCCGGGGGAGGAGGCGGCUCGAACCCCCACGGAGAAGAGCGAACGGGGGUCGCAAGGGCCGCCCGGGGCGGAGGCCGAGCGGAGUCCCUCGUUUCGGAGCGGACCAGGGCCGCCCGGGGGGCCGGGGAGGAGGCCGACUAACCUCCCCGUUGCGGUGGGCGGGCGGGACCCGGCGGGGCGGCAUCGGAGAGAGGCGGACUUAACUCCCCGUCGUCGGGAGCGGGCGGGGACCGCCGGGUGCCCGUCCGGGCGGGACCGGGGUCCGAGGCGGCGGGCCCCGGCCGGCGGGGCUGCCGGGGGCGGAGGCAGAGCGGAGUCCCUCGGCCGAGAGCAUGCCGGGACCGCCCGAGAGGACGGGGAAGAUGUCGGACGCAGCUCCCCCGGCGAUGGGCGGGCGAGGGCCGCCGGGGGAGGAGCCGGGUACUUACCCGACCGGGAGGAGCGGGCGUGGGCCGCCUCGGCCCGCCCGGGGAGGAGCCGGACCGGACGCCCGUCGAGGGGAGCGGGCGGCGACCGCCCGGGAGGCCGGGGAGGAGGCGGACUUUACUCCCCAUGGCGAAGAGCGGGAGGCGGCCGCCGGGGAGGAUGGGGACGACGGCGGACUCGGCUCCCCCCCGGGGACGAGCGGGCGGGGGCCGCCGGGUGCCCGGCCGGGAGGGACCGGGGUCGGCGGCAGCGGGCCUCGGUUGGCGGGGCUGCCGGGGGAGGAGGCGGGCGGAACUCCCCGUCGUCCGGAGCGGGCUGGGACCGCCCGGGGCCCGGCCGUGCGGGUCCGGCGGGGCCGCAGAGCGGCAGGGCGGGCCGCCGGGGCGAGUUGGCAGAAGGGGGCGACCGAUCCGGUCAAAAAACCGGACUUUGCGGUGUUGCGCCCGAGCCGGAGUCCAGGGCCAAGGACGAGUUGCCACUCGCGGCCCGCAAGAGGACUUUCGGGCUCCGUCCGGGAAGUGGGCAGGCGGGGGUCCCAAAGUCCGGGCGGGCCGGCGGUCGGCGGGCGCCGGCCGGUGGGGCCGCCGUGCGGAGCGCCGUCGGCCCCCGCGAGGCCCCGGCGGCGGAGGGCGCGCGGCCGGGGCGGCCCGAUCUUCCGGGUAGGAGGGGGAGGGUCACCCCCCUGGCUCCCCCGCGCGGAACAAGUGGUCUCCGGGCGGGCGGCGGUUGCCGGACUCCGUGGACCGGGGAGCGGCGGGACCGGGAGUCCGCCGGGCGCCGCGGGCGGCAGGGGCGGGCCGCUCCCGCCUCGGUCCGGCGGCUCCGGACCCGCUCGGCACCGGCGGGGGCCGGGCGGGCGCCUCCCGCAUGCAGAGGGCGGUAGCGCCGGAGCCGGGGUCGGCGCUGGGAGAGCGGGCCGUGACCGCCGGACCUCGGCCGUCCCGCACGGCCGCCGACUCGGGCCCGGCCGCUGCGGGCCGAGAAUCCCGGGGCGGGGGCCCGCGAAACCGGCCCAUGUCCGGUCGGGGCCCGGCCGAGCGGGGCGACGGCCGGGGGCGGUACCGGGCGGCGCGCCGCGGGGCCCCACGACCCCCUCAGUGUCAAACCGUGAGCAUUUUAGUCGGCCCGAAAGUCCGGCCAGAGGGGGGUGCGAUACCCCCUUGGCUCCCCCUGCCAACAUCGGACCCUAUAUAGGGGGGAGGUGGUGCUCGGGCCGAGGCCCCGGAUAGAGAGAGACGCGAGAACUCGGAGAGGGACGUGAGAGGUGGCCCUGCCGGCUGGGCUGGGCUGGGCUGGACUGGGCGGGUCGGAGGAGGCCCGCGCCGGCGAGCAGAACCGGGCGGCCCGGCCCCCCUCGGGCGGAGGGAGCGGCGGACCGGCGAGCGGGGCCCGAGCCAGGACGGGACCCGCGUCCGCCGGCGGCUUCCCACGGGCGGAGCGGGCGCGGUCCGCCGAGGCCGACCGGGCCGCCGGCAACUCGGCACCAGCGGGGGCCGAGCGGGCGCCGCCCGCAUGCAGAGGGCGGUAGCGCCGGAACCGAGGUCGGCGCUGGGCGAGCGGGCCGGCACCGCCGAUCCGCGGCCGUCACGGACGGCGACCAACUCGGACCCACCCGCUGCGGGCCGAAAAAUCCGAAGCGGGGGCCCCCGAAAUCCGAGAGAGUCCGGUUUGGGCCCGGCCGAGCGUGGCUCAGGGCCGGGAGCGUACCGAGCGGCGCGUCGCGGGGCCCCACGACCCCCUCGGUGUCAAAACGUGAGCAUUUUAGUCGGCCCGAAAGUCCGGCCAGAGGGGGGUGCGAUACCCCCUUGGCUCCCCCUGUCAACAUCGGAACCUAUAUAGGGGGGAGGUGGUCCUCGGGCCGAGGCCCCGGAUAAAGAGAAACAUAAGAAUUCAAAGAAACACAUAAGAAAUGGCCCUCCCGCAGACCCGGCGGCGCACCGAGCGAGGAGGCCACCCUCCCCCGACAGGCGCACCCCCUGACGGACGGGGUGCCCGGGCUGGGCCGGCCAGAGGCCCCUCUCCGAGGGGUCCGGGCCAGGAGAGAGGCGGUGCGGUCGGGGAGCGGGGCGGCGGGCGCCCGGCGGUCUCCCCGCGGCCGUGCGGUCAGAGCGAGAGAGAGAGGACACAUAUACCCAGUGCUUGCCGAAGAGAGGCCCCUCGGCGGGCGGGCUGCCCCGGCCCGGCUCGCCGGCAGAGGGUCGGUGGAGGGGAAUGCCCUGCGGGGCGGUGCGGUGAGGUAAGGUAGCGAGCGAGCGGCCGCCGGGCAGCGGGCCCCGGCGCUCCCCCCACGGGAGGGGCCGCGCAGGGACCGCCGGCAAGGGGGCAGCCCACCCCGCCGGUCGGUCGGCCGAGAGAGAGCGAGCGAGGAUCGGUGCGAAAGCCGGGUCCGCCGCGGCGGCGGCCCCGCACGUCGUGCGACCCCCGACCGGUCCGUCCGGCCGGGCGAGCACUCGGACUGGCCCGGCGCAGUGCGCGGGAGCCGGGGCCGACCCGCCCGCCCCCAGCGGCGGGCGGGGCCGCCCCGCUCCCGGGCCGGGUCCCGGAAACCCCAGGCAGUCAGACGGCCCGCGCGGGCGGCCGAGCCGGAGGCCCACCCCCAUCCCGAGAUCCCGACCCCACCGGCUCCCGGGCCGGUCGGCGGUCGGCGGGGGCUGCGGCGCCGGGCCCGGCCGCCGGCGGGACCCCACGGCACCCCCGCGCCCUGCCCACUGGCGCGGCGGAGGAGGCGCCGGCCGAGAGGCGGCCCAGGCGGCGGACGGAGAGACCGGGGCCCGGCAGCGGGCCCCUCCCGGGCGGACGGGACCGGAAGGGCCCGGUCCGCCCGGCGAAGAGGCGAGAGGAGACGGCCGGAGGGGCGCGGUGCGCGGCGGCCGGUACGGGCCGCGCUCCGCCCGCCCGAGAGAGAGA
rnacentral:misc_RNA from 1 species